rnacentral:rRNA from 1 species
AGAGUUUGAUCCUGGCUCAGGAUGAACGCUGGCGGCGUGCUUAACACAUGCAAGUCGAACGAUGAUGCCCAGCUUGCUGGGUGGAUUAGUGGCGAACGGGUGAGUAACACGUGAGCAACCUGCCCCUGACUCUGGGAUAAGCGCUGGAAACGGCGUCUAAUACUGGAUAUGUCCCAUCACCGCAUGGUGUGUGGGUGGAAAGAUUUUUCGGUUGGGGAUGGGCUCGCGGCCUAUCAGCUUGUUGGUGAGGUAAUGGCUCACCAAGGCGUCGACGGGUAGCCGGCCUGAGAGGGUGACCGGCCACACUGGGACUGAGACACGGCCCAGACUCCUACGGGAGGCAGCAGUGGGGAAUAUUGCACAAUGGGCGCAAGCCUGAUGCAGCAACGCCGCGUGAGGGAUGACGGCCUUCGGGUUGUAAACCUCUUUUAGCAGGGAAGAAGCGAGAGUGACGGUACCUGCAGAAAAAGCACCGGCUAACUACGUGCCAGCAGCCGCGGUAAUACGUAGGGUGCAAGCGUUAUCCGGAAUUAUUGGGCGUAAAGAGCUCGUAGGCGGUUUGUCGCGUCUGCUGUGAAAUUCCGAGGCUCAACCUCGGGCUUGCAGUGGGUACGGGCAGACUAGAGUGCGGUAGGGGAGAUUGGAAUUCCUGGUGUAGCGGUGGAAUGCGCAGAUAUCAGGAGGAACACCGAUGGCGAAGGCAGAUCUCUGGGCCGUAACUGACGCUGAGGAGCGAAAGGGUGGGGAGCAACAGGCUUAGAUACCCUGGUAGUCCACCCGUAAACGUGGGAACUAGUUGU